rnacentral:rRNA from 1 species
AUGGGCGCAAGCCUGAUCCAGCCAUGCCGCGUGCNNGANGAAGGCCUUCGGGUUGUAAANUGCUUUNGUNCGGGACGAAACGGACUGGGUUAAUACCGUGGGAUAAUGACGGUACCGUAAGAAUAAGCACCGGCUAACUACGUGCCAGCAGCCGCGGUAAUACGUAGGGUGCGAGCGUUAAUCGGAAUUACUGGGCGUAAAGCGUGCGCAGGCGGUUUUGUAAGACAGGCGUGAAAUCCCCGGGCUCAACCUGGGAAUGGCGCUUGUGACUGCAAAGCUGGAGUGCGGCAGAGGGGGAUGGAAUUCCGCGUGUAGCAGUGAAAUGCGUAGAUAUGCGGAGGAACACCGAUGGCGAAGGCAAUCCCCUGGGCCUGCACUGACGCUCAUGCACGAAAGCGUGGGGAGCAAACAGGAUUAGAUACCCUGGUAGUCCACGCCCUAAACGAUGUCAACUGGUUGUUGGUCCUUAGCUGGCAUCAGUANCGAAGCUAACGCGUGAAGUUGCCCGCCUGGGGAGUACGGCUGCAAG